AGUGGGAUUGUUGGGUCAGAUGGUAAAUCUAUGUUCAAUUUUUUGAGAAACUGCCAGACUGUUUUCCAAAGUGGAUGCACCAUUUUACAUUCCUACCAGCAGU
rnacentral:pre_miRNA from 1 species